UAGGGAAUUUUGGGCAAUGGGCGAAAGCCUGACCCAGCAACGCCGCGUGUGGGAUGAAGGCCCUCGGGUCGUAAACCACUGUCAGGAGGGAAGAGCUGGCCGAUGGCCAAUACCCAUCGGUCUCGACGGUACCUCCAGAGGAAGCUCCGGCUAACUCCGUGCCAGCAGCCGCGGUAAUACGGAGGGGGCGAGCGUUGUUCGGAAUUACUGGGCGUAAAGCGCGUGUAGGCGGUUCGGCAAGUCGGAUGUGAAAGCCCCGGGCUCAACUCGGGAACUGCAUCCGAAACUGCCGGGCUAGAGUCCCGGAGAGGAGGGCAGAAUUCCCAGUGUAGGGGUGAAAUCCGUAGAUAUUGGGAGGAAUACCAGUUGCGAAGGCGGCCCUCUGGACGGUGACUGACGCUGAGACGCGAAAGCGUGGGGAGCAAACAGGAUUAGAUACCCGCGUAGUCC
rnacentral:rRNA from 1 species